rnacentral:lncRNA from 1 species
ACACCCACACAUGAGAGCUGGAAGGAAUGCUGGAGCCAGGCUGCCUUCUUUCCCAAACAUGGAACCAGGCUAGUAGUACAAUCGGCUCAAGCUGCCUUUGCCAAGGCCAGCAGCAGGCUUGGCCCUUCCCUCAUGCAUGAGGAAAGAAUACAACGUGUUCUUCCAUUUUUCCAUAAGCUUGGUUUUGUGACAAUCACCCUUAGUGAAAGAGAUCUGUUUACAUGAAAAGUGUCUAAUUCUCAUUUCUAAAUGGCGAUUCAGUAUCCAGGGUCUAGCAGGGAAAAAGGGAAGAAAACCUGAGAGGAACACAGAUGGACCUGGCCUUGUGUCCUAACUCCUCUCCGUGGUCUUGGAUAAGGUCCUUGUUUGAAGACAAGACUAUGUCAUUUCAUCUGUAUAUUUCCAGUGCCCAGCACAAAGGCUGAAAGGAAUGCUUGAUGUCAUCUAGUUCAAAUGAUUCAACUAUUCCAUUAUUCCCUCUGCAACACUCCUGAGAGAUUUGUCAGCAUGGAAAGUAAGCAUGCCCUUUCCUCUAAAGGACUUUCCCUCUGUCAUGGCUUUGGGGUUUCCUACCUUUAUGAUUUUUCUCCCACCAUCUCUGCAGCAAUAUUAUUAUCUAUCCACCUCCCCUGGAAAUCUUCCUUCCUUUACUCCCAUGCACAGGAUCACUGUUUCUCCUAGACCCCUACAGCUUCUACUGUCUGUGCCCCUCCAGAGGUGAUGAAUUGACUCUAACCUGGUGAGGAGCCCCUUUAACCUACAGUUCUCAGACAUAUGUGCACACCACCUAGUGGUCCAAGAA